rnacentral:rRNA from 1 species
CGGGAGGCAGCAGUGGGGAAUCUUGCGCAAGGGGCUGGCUAACAUCCAGCUUGAUGACGGUACCUCUUUAGCAAGCACCGGCUAACUCUGUGCCAGCAGCCGCGGUAAGACAGAGGGUGCAAACGUUGUUCGGAAUUACUGGGCGUAAAGCGCGUGUAGGCUGCUUCGAAAGUCGGAUGUGAAAGCCCUGGGCUCAACCUAGGAAGUGCAUUCGAAACUUCGAAGCUGGAGUCCUGGAGAGGAUAGCGGAAUUCUCGGUGUAGAGGUGAAAUUCGUAGAUAUCGAGAGGAACACCGGUGGCGAAGGCGGCUAUCUGGACAGUGACUGACGCUGAGACGCGAAAGCGUGGGGAGCAAACAGGAUUAGAUACCCUGGUAGUCCACGCCGUAAACGAUGGGUGCUAGGUGUCGCGGGCUUUGA